CAUCAUAUAUUCCCCCUACCUACGCCCAUCGACAGUGCAGUGCAUGCAGGCGAAUCGCGGGGAAAGCCGCCGCCAAUUAUCAAACGGAAAAAAUUAACGCAUAGCAUUCCAAUUUCGUUGUCUGUUUUUUUUCAUCUUUUUCUCCCUCUCGCUCGCUCGCUCUCUCUUUCUGUCUCUCCCCUCAUUUGGUGUGCCUUUUUUGUACACUGCUGCUGCGGCCGUGUGCCGACCGACCGACCGACCGUGCUGCUACCCGCUCCCGCACCGCUCCUCGCUGUUGCGACGCGCUCUUUUGUUGGCCCGCAGACGGCCGGACGGGACAAACUGACAGCCAAGACGAAUCGUAUAUUUUUUUUGUUUUUGCUUUUUCGGUUUUCAAUUGAAAGCGAUGAAAUUCUCAUGCGUGUGUGUAUUUAAUCAAUUAUUUUAGCAUUCGAGUGCAAGCAUUGCUGAAGGGAAAAUACAGCAGCAGCACCAACAACAACAACAAUGAAACAUGUUUUUAUGCAGCAGCGGAAAUAACAACAACAACCAAAGCAGCAGCUGCAACAAUCAACAAAAACAACAAGCUCCAUUUGCUGUUUGUGGAAUAAAGCAAUAAUAACAUAGAAAACAAGCGUCAGUGUAAAAUUAAUAACAAAAGCAGCGGCAUCGGUAGAACAGCAGCAGCAGCAUUCAGUCCAAAAGCAACUCCUUUUAGAGCUCUCUCUCUCUCUCUAUGGACCACCAACAGCUGUCUGAUUUUCAAAUGAUUAUUAUGCAGAGAGGGUAAAGGAAAAAACAACAGACAGCAGCCACCGGCACAGUGGAACGUGAAAGCAACGGGAUUACAGUGGAACAGACAGCAAGGAUUACAAACAGCUGCUGCACAGUGGAACACCGGGGAUUACCAUGGAAAAAACCGGCAAUGAAAAUGAAAAUGAAAAUCCUACAAAAACGGAUUGAUUAUUGUUUUUAGACUUUAACAUUUUUUUUUUGUAAUACUGUGUGUUGGAUUCAUCGUGAAUUUUUCAAAUGGAAUACCAAUAAUAAUUGUGAAAUGUUUGCAUUGGAUGAUACCCCGCAAAAUGUGCAACCGCAGCAGAGCCGUCGCGACCACAAAUCUUAAAGAAAAUUCCUUUAAGAUCAAUAACAAUACAAAUUGCGGUAAUCUAACAAAAACUACCAUAACCUAAGAAAACAAAGAAAAACAAAGCAAAACAAAAGGCAAGAAACAG
rnacentral:sRNA from 1 species